CGACGUGAGCAAUCUGCCUUUAAGAGGGGGAUAACAGUCGGAAACGGCUGCUGAUACCGCAUAAAGCAUUGAAACCGCAUGAUUUUGAUGCCAAAGGAGCAAUCCGCUUUUAGAUGAGCUCGCGUCUGAUUAGCUAGUUGGCGGGGUAACGGCCCACCAAGGCGACGAUCAGUAGCCGGACUGAGAGGUUGAACGGCCACAUUGGGACUGAGACACGGCCCAG
rnacentral:rRNA from 1 species